rnacentral:lncRNA from 1 species
AAAAAUGGGAGUUCAUAACCCACUUGAAUCAAAUGUGUGAAAUAUGAUAUGUCAAGAACUAUGUAAUGUUUUGAACAACCAAUAAUAAAACUUAAAAAAAAUAAAAUAAAAAAAAGAAAGGGAAUGAGGGCAGGGGUUUGCCUAGUUGGAGGCUUUGCACAGCUGUCAAUGCAGGUGAUUUUGAUGAGGCGUGGUCUGCCCAUCACAGACCCAUCACAGGAUGGGGUCAGGUGGGGUCUUGUUGGUUGCUGUCACCUGGAGGGUAAUUUCGAUUCAUUAUAAGAUGUUUACUGAUUAAGCCUGUUGUUCCUGGAAUCCAAGGUGACUCAGAGCAAAGGAGACAGAUGCAAAAUGUAGGCAGAGAUGCCCAACUUUUUUUUUUUUGUAGAUGAACACAACACAAUGCUUUUAUCUAUUUAUUUUUUUAUGUGGUGCUGAGAAUUGAACCCAGGUCCCUCCUGUGCUAGGCGAGCAUUUUACCGCUGAGCCACAAUCCCAGCCCCAAGAUGCCCAUCUUUAAUCCCGCUUUCAGCCACCCGUUGGACAUUUGUAGGCAAAAAUAAAGAGUCAAAGCCCUUUUACAUGUGUAGGUUGGAAACAUCAAUAUGUUUAAGAAGGGGUUAGUAUGGGGUUUCUUAACCCUGGUAUGGUUGGCUUCUAGGUCACAUUCACAUAAGUCUUUGUUGCAUGGGCUGUCAUGUAUAAUGUAUGGGGGUCAGCAGCAUUCCUGAGUUCUAUUCAUUAGGUGACAAUAACAUUUCAUCCUUAGCAUAAAGUGGACACUGUUACACUAUCAACUGAAUACUUGUGUCCUCCCCCCCCACCCCAAAUUCAUAUGGCAAAGUGCUAAACCCCAAGGUGAUGGUAUUGGGAGGUAUGGCUUUUUGGAGAUGGUUAAGUUAUGAGGGAAGAGGCCUAAUGAUGACUUGGAUUAGUGCCCUCAUAAGAGAACCCAUGGAGGUUUGGGGAUGUAGCUCAGUGGCAGACCACUUGCCUAGCAUGUAAAGGCCCUGGGUUCAGUCUUCAGUAUGGAACUGCAGGGUGGUCUACUUUAUGCUUUGAAUAUAACCCUUGUUGCUAUGCCACUGCAACUUACUUUUAAAAUGGACAGGUUUCUCUCUCUUCCUCUCUCCCUGUUCCUCCCUAAUCUCUCUCCAUCUCUAAUCUCAGGGGAAACAGGAUGACCUUUCUUCCUCAUCCUAGGCAGAGUUAUCUGUCCCUGAGUACACAUCCACUAUAGGAACAAAGUCAUCCAGACUUUGAGGAUGGUACCAGAAGAGCCAAGAAAUGACUGUCUUCCAAGUUAACAGUGAAUGCCAACUCCAACAGAGAACAUGUGGAAUGGAGUCUUUGAAUCACCUCUUUCUGAACCUAUUCCAGCUGAUGGGCAGGGGAGUCUGGGACAGGAGUCCCCUGUGUUUCUCCUUUGCUGGCAAAGCAAUAAACCUUGUUUUUCCUUUUUCUCAAAA